rnacentral:rRNA from 1 species
CGUAGGUGAACCUGCGGAGGGAUCAUUACUGAAUGGCCUCGGCCUUCAACCUUGUAAACCUGUGGAAGCAAUCUGUGCUUCGGCGCUCCGGCGUCGCAUUUAUGCAGCGAAGCAUUUGUCUGAAUCAAAAGCAAGAAUUAAAACUUUCAACAAAGGAUCUCUUGGCUCUCGCAUCGAUGAAGAACGCAGCGAAGCGCGAAAUGUAGUGUGAAUCGCAGAACAUUGUGAAUCAUCGAAUCUUUGAACGCACAUUGCGCCUCCGGUCAUUCGGAGGCAUGCCUGUCUGAGCGUCAUUUAAACCAUAGCCCCGUAAGGGUCUGUCUUGGGCAUCGCCCGUGGGCGUAGCCUGGAAGCCAUCGGUCUAAAGAGCGGACGAGAUCCAUUAGGACUGACCGUUCUGCGACCCUAAACCUCUGACUUGACCUCAGAUCAGGUAGGGCUACCGCCUGAACUUAAGCAUAUCAAUAAGCGGAGGA